GUGGGGAAUAUUGCGCAAUGGGGGAAACCCUGACGCAGCAACGCCGCGUGGAGGAAGAAGGUCUUCGGAUUGUAAACUCCUGUCUUCUGGGACGAUAAUGACGGUACCAGAGGAGGAAGCCACGGCUAACUACGUGCCAGCAGCCGCGGUAAUACGUAGGUGGCGAGCGUUGUCCGGAAUUACUGGGCGUAAAGGGCGCGUAGGCGGCCUGGUAAGUCUGGAGUGAAAGUCCUGCUUUUAAGGUGGGAAUUGCUUUGGAUACUGUCGGGCUUGAGUGCAGGAGAGGUAAGUGGAAUUCCCGGUGUAGCGGUGAAAUGCGUAGAGAUCGGGAGGAACACCAGUGGCGAAGGCGACUUACUGGACUGUAACUGACGCUGAGGCGCGAAAGUGUGGGGAGCAAACAGGAUUAGAUACCCCAGUAGUCC
rnacentral:rRNA from 1 species